UAUGCAACGGCCAAGAGACAGAAGAUGGAUUGUUCAAUCUGCAGCGCGAUGCCAUUCAUUUUAAGGCCUCCAAGAAAUACAAUAUGUGGAGCCUGCUAUGAGGGAGCUAAAAGCAUAAUCACCUUAACCAACAAACUUGAUAAUGACAAGGGAUUAUUAGAUAAACAACCCAACAACCCUGUUUCUUCGUAUAAUUCUGCAAAGGUACGUUCUUUAAUUCUCAGCCUGUUUAUUCUUCUUCUUCUUCUUCUGGAAUAUGAUAUGUUUGAUCAACCACCUGGUUGAAUAAGGGUUCAAGUCAGUUGCAGGAUAGAACGGGGCAUACGAUUAUAUACCUUGCAAACGUCAACCAUAUGAAUGAAAAACUAUUAGCAUAAAGCUUAAGCUCGUUUGUAUGUGCCCAGCUGAUCAAUUUUGUAGUGAAAAGCCAGGGAAUGAGGAUAACCAAUUGUCGGUCCAGCAAUAAUGUUAAGGAAAGCCGAAUUAAUGGAGAAUUGGGGAUGUAGUUCUUGCGAAGAAUCAACAUUGACAUUCAUAAAAUGUAGUCUACUAGAAGACUCUUCCAUGAUAAUUGAUCACUGGGCUCUCGUGAUUUAUGAUCACGCAGGACCUGAUGGUCCAAUUCUAGCAGACUAGACCAGGUACCCUAUAUAUUUAUAUAGUUCGUCUUCCCCUCUUUUCUUUGGAUUGAGGUGUUUUCUUGGCUAUUGUCCUUUUCUUCGGGGUGGGCGGCGGAUGGAGGGCAAGGCUUGAAUUGCCAGUGUGCUAAGUUCGGACCCUACAUCAACUAUGCCCCUUUGAUGGGCCAAAGUUCACGCCAGGGUAGGCGCAAAACUGCGGAAAACAGAGUCCUGCUGCAGUGGCCGUGGCAUUAUUAAUGAUCCUAAGGAAUAAUUGUAGGGUGACCAGAAACUAGUUUCCACGAUUCGGGCUUUUACUAGAGUACGAAGCAAAGCAGAAUGUUCUUCGGAAACAAUUUACUUUCUCUAUCCUUCCUUGAUGAUGAAAAGCAAAAGUGUAAUAACAAUUCGUCAAGUCACAACUCUGUAAAUCGUUUCUCUGCAUGUGGCAAAAUUGUCGUAACGAUCGUGCAUGUCAACUAUGUGCUAUAGGGGGAUCUCGGAAAGAAAUUUACGUAUCGAAAUGGCAUUUGAGUACUUGUCUCAGGUAGAUAUAGACAGCCUUUCAUCAUUCAGAAUUUGAAGAAGUAGAGACUCGGGGGCUCUUAGACAUGGAUAUUUCGUAUUCAAUUCGAUGAAUCAAACAAUCUACUUAGUUUUGCAAGCGUAGAACAGUUGAUAAUUUUCAUUGAUACAGUCAUGAUUGUUGGUGAUUAUUCUCAUGAGUUCAGAGAAUGUUAGGUUUGUGAACAAGAAAUUUUGAUGUCCAAAUGCUCAAAGAGUGUAAUUUUUGCCUCUCCAGGGACUCGCAAAUGCGUUGAAAUGGGUGAAGGAAAUGAAGGAGGCCGAAGAGGAACUAAAUGAAAAACUAAACUUUCUGAGUGGAUUUGUUGCUGCAUUUAGGCAUCAGAUGCACCCUGAUAUUCUCAUCAAGCCUGGAAAUGAUGGACCCUCUUUGCCAGCACAUAGAGCUCUUCUGGUGACCCUUUUUUUUCUUUUAAUUGAUUUUUUCCUUUCCUUUUACCAUUAAAGCAAACUAAUAAGAGCACUGGGGCAAUAAAGCGUUGUGGUGGCAAUUACAACUUCAUCUCUUCAUCACAUUAUGCAGGCAGCAAGGUCUGAUGUAUUCAAAAACAUGCUAGAUUCAGAUGGAUGCAAAGCUCCUCCAAGCGACACCAUAACAUUUCCAGAAUUGAAUCAUGAGGAGCUUGAAUCGCUAUUGGAGUUCCUCUACGGAGGAGACUUGCCUAAAGAAAAGGCGGACAAACAUGUUUACUCACUGUCAAUGGCUGCAGAUAAAUAUGAGAUCCCAUUUCUGCAGAAGUUUUGUGAGCAUCGAAUGCUCGGAUCUUUAAGCUCAUCAAAUGUUCUUGAUGUUUUAGAAAUAGCUGACACUUGCUCCAAUCCUAGUUUGAAGGAGACUGCCCUCAACUUCAUCGUAAAUAAUAUGGAGGAUGUAGUCUUUUCAGAUAGGUUUGAUGCAUUUGCACUUAAAAAUCCUCAUUUAACUGUACAGAUAACGAGGGCAUCCUUCAUGGAGAUUAGAAACAGAAGGACUGCAAUUUGAAAGAGUAAAAGAAUGCAUGUUUCAUGUAUAAAGAGCUGGAUCUUCCCCGACUGAUAUAUGAACCCGCAUUGUCAUUUUUGCAGACAAGAUGAUCCCUCUAGUUUUGUCAAAUGAAAACUCAUUCAGAAUGAUGGAUAUGUUGUCACAAUUGCUUUGUAUAUCAGUUCAAUUACUUUGCAUAUUAAGAAAUUAGUACUUUUCCAAUAUUCUUUCAUUUCUCUAUAGUGAACAUGUUCUCAUGUACUAUUCAUCAAUUUUCUCUAUUAUUAUUCAUUGUACUUUUGUAACCAAUCUAAAUAAAUGAAUUUCUUUUAUCUCUUUCCUAUGAAGAAAUUAAGAUUUUCAUAGCAAGACAAUGCUCCAUUUUGUCUAAUAUCGACAACUAUAGUCUUAUAACAUGGAGCCUCAUUUUUAACAAACAAAAAUUUUGGAAAAACACUUAAAGGUCGUACAUUUGUUUGGAAAAAGGUUGACGGUUGUAUAUUCAUUUACAUUUGUUUGGAAAAAAGGUAUUAUUCAUUUACACUUAAAGGUCUAUAAGUUUUGGAAAAGAUAAAUUUGGAUCCUCAAUAUUUGACGGUUGUAUUAUUUUAAUUCCUAGAGUUUCAAAAAAAAAAACAAAUUUGAUCCUCAAUAUUUCUUAUUUGAAGCAAAACGGAAUCCAGUCACGUUAGAUCACACCAUCGCAAACUUCAGUCCUGAUGCUGCAAUGUCUUGCUUGUGUUGUUAGUGCAGUGCAUCUUUAGAUACGAGGAAGACAUGGUUAUCCUUGAGUUUCUCGCCGAUGACUUCGAUGAAACAGCAUAGCCCGCAUGGAUGAUCUGUCCUGGCAAAAUAUUUUCUGCUUACUUGGCUCCCUAAUUUCCUCCAAAUUCAACACAUGGAGAUAACUUCAUCCACAUUUCUGAAAUUUCAGCGACGACAUUUCUACCGGGAUGGAGCAUUAAUUCUGUGAUUCUAGCUAUACAGGUCACAGUGUAACCAAGAAGCAAACUUCAUCUACUUCGUCUUCAUUCCUUGAGUCAAGAAAUUGUUUCUGUAUUUAAAAUCUGAGAUCAGAACAUGGAUUGCCCUGUCUGUAACUUCAUGUCGAGUCCGACUCUCGUAAGACCUCUCAAGUACACAAUAUGUGGAUCUUGCUUUGAAGGAGCCAGAAGCGUAAUGGCCUUGAUGAACAAGCUGGACCAUAAUGCGGGUGCCAAUAAGUCAGCUGCCAACAAAGUCCCUCUCCCAAAUCCAUCGAAGGCAAGCUCUUAUCGUAUUCAGCAAAUUCAAAUAAUAUCCGUAGCAGACAAUAUAUUCAUGUUCGCUUUUCUGUUGGCUUCUUUCACCAGGGAUUUGCAAAUGCUCUGAGAUGGGUGAAGGAAAUGAAGGAAACAGAAGAUGAAUUGAGAGAUAGGCUAUCCUAUCUUGCUGGAUUUGUUUCUGCCUUUAAAGACCAAAUUCACACUGAUAUUCAGGUUAAGCCUGGCGGUGGUGGUCCUUGUAUACCAGCACACAGAGCAUUACUGGUGAUUCUCAAUCUCUUUCAUUUCCUUUAAGAAUAUUUUACUGAUCAAAGGAGCAGAGAGUGUAGUUUCUACAAUCUGGCAAUGAGAUAUUUGAUCAACUAUGCUCUUUGCGUGGGGCAGGCUGCAAGAUCAACAAUCUUCAGAAACAUGCUGGAUUUUGAUGGAUGCAUGGCUCCGUCGCAGGACAUUGUGAAGCUCCCUGAAUUGAACUAUGAGGAGCUAGAGGCAUUUCUGGAGUUUCUGUACAGCGGAAACUUGGCAAGAGAAAAGAUAGAACAGCAUGUCUACUCGCUGUCAGUGGCUGCAGACAAGUAUGAAGUUCCAUUCUUGCAGAAGUUUUGCGAACAACAUAUGCUUAGAACUCUGAACUCGUCCAAUGCACUCGAUGUGCUAGAGAUCUCGGACACUUGCUCUAGUCAGAGUUUGAAGGAGGCUACCUUGAGAUUCAUCGUUCAAAGCAUGGAGGACAUAGUUUUCUCAUCUAAAUUUGAUGCUUUUGCUCUCAAGAACCCACAUUUAAGUGUACAGAUCACAAGGACAUCAUGUAUAGAUUCCAAAACUAGAAGAAACGGGAUCUGAGUGAGAAGGAAACAGGAAUGAUUGAGUCUUGUGCAUGGCCCUUUUUUUAUAUUAAAAAAAAAAAAAAAUUUCGCAUCCAUCUGGUGUUUUUAAUUUUCAGAAGUCAUCAGGAAUGGUUUAUAGAUAUACAUACCAACAGAGCGACUGGAUAAUUAAAUGAGGGAGCUAAAAGCAUAAUCACCUUAACCAACAAACUUGAUAAUGACAAGGGAUUAUUGGAUAAACAACCCAACAACCCUGUUUCUUCGUAUAAUUCUGCAAAGGUACGUUCUUUAAUUCUCAGCCUGUUUAUUCUUCUUCUUCUG
rnacentral:lncRNA from 1 species